UGUUGUUUUUACUAAGUUAAGAAAAGUUAGGAAGAAGUUUAACCAAUUUCUACUUCAAUGGUUAAGAACGAUUAGAAUUUUAAGAAACAACAAACUAUUUCAACACAAUGUCUACCCACUCAAAACACAACACAUAUGCUUUUCUUAGUUUUAAGAAAAUAUCUUAAUAAAGAUGUUUUUGUUUAACCAAAAAAAAUAAAAUAAAGAU
rnacentral:sRNA from 1 species